UACGUAGGCAGCGAGCGUUGUUCGGAAUUACUGGGCGUAAAGAGUGUGUAGGCGGUGCUCUAAGUUCGGUGUGAAAUCUCCUGGCUCAACUGGGAGGGUGCGCCGGAAACUGGAGUGCUUGAGCGUGGGAGAGGAAAGCGGAAUUCCUGGUGUAGCGGUGAAAUGCGUAGAUAUCAGGAGGAACACCGGUGGUGUAGACGGCUUUCUGGACCGUAACUGACGCUGAGACACGAAAGCGUGGGUAGCAAACAGG
rnacentral:rRNA from 1 species